rnacentral:rRNA from 1 species
UACGUAGGGGGCAAGCGUUGUCCGGAUUUAUUGGGCGUAAAGAGCGUGUAGGCGGCUAGGUAGGUCCGUUGUGAAAACUCGAGGCUCAACCUCGAGACGCCGAUGGAAACCAUCUAGCUAGAGUCCGGAAGAGGAGAGUGGAAUUCCUGGUGGUAGCGGUGAAAUGCGCAGAUAUCAGGAAGAACACCCGUGGCUAAGGCGGCUCUCUAGUACGGUACUGACGCUGAGACGCGAAAGCGUGGGGAGCGAACAGG